AAGCCAAAAAGUGACGGUUUCGUUUCAGUGGAAAGCAAAGUACACGAGUCAAAAUCCUCCUACUUUUUCCCCCACUUAUAUAUAUAAAAGGUAUAAACAGGAAAAAAAAAAAAACACAGAAAAUAUUUUUAAACAAUUUUGAUAACUUCAAUGAAUUUUUUAAUUAUUUUUCAAAAAGAAAGAAAACCGUUAAAACAAAAACUGCCACAAUCCACAAAAUGCGUAUUAUCACAAAACAAGUUUGUAAUUUUCUCUGUCAGUCAAACCGAAGAUCUGUUGUCGUA
rnacentral:lncRNA from 1 species